UGGGGAAUUUUGGACAAUGGGCGAAAGCCUGAUUCAGCAAUGCCGCGUGUGUGAAGAAGGCCUUCGGGUUGUAAAGCACUUUUGUCCGGAAAGAAAUCCUUGGCUCUAAUACAGUCGGGGGAUGACGGUACCGGAAGAAUAAGCACCGGCUAACUACGUGCCAGCAGCCGCGGUAAUACGUAGGGUGCAAGCGUUAAUCGGAAUUACUGGGCGUAAAGCGUGCGCAGGCGGUUUGCUAAGACCGAUGUGAAAUCCCCGGGCUCAACCUGGGAACUGCAUUGGUGACUGGCAGGCUAGAGUAUGGCAGAGGGGGGUAGAAUUCCACGUGUAGCAGUGAAAUGCGUAGAGAUGUGGAGGAAUACCGAUGGCGAAGGCAGCCCCCUGGGCCAAUACUGACGCUCAUGCACGAAAAGCGUGGGGAGCAAAACAGGAUUAGAUACCCUGGGUAGUCCACGCCCUAAAACGAUGUCAACUAGUUGUUGGGGGAUUCAUUUCCUUAGUAACGUAGCUAACGCGUGAAGUUGACCGCCUGGGGAGUACGGUCGCAAGAUUAAAACUCAAAGGAAUUGACGGGGUCAUA
rnacentral:rRNA from 1 species